GGGUGUGAGGGUGAUCUGGCUGCGACAUCUGUUACCCCAUUGAUCGCCAGGGUUGAUUCGGCUGAUCUGGCUGGCUAGGCGGGUGUCCCCUUCCUCCCUCACCACUGCAAGUGCGUCCCUCCCAAAGCUGCACACUCGGUCAAAGAGAACGGCCUUCCCGAAUAGAGAUGGACCGGCCUUUGGUUAAGGGUAUAGGAGUAGAGGCGCUCCCCUGCUAGAACCUCCAAACAAGCUCUCAAGGUCCAAAAGGCUAACAAACACAUGAAAAAUUGCUCCAGGUCACUGACUGUCAGAGAAAUGCAAAUAAAGACACCACUG
rnacentral:snRNA from 1 species